GUAGAAGGAAAAAUCCUUAUGAAACAUAUGAAACCUGAAACAUAGCCAACUGUCUUCACACAAUGUUAUCUCUACCAAGUAUUGGGAAACCAUUCUUGGCAUCAGGGAAGAAUGGGAAUGACCUUCUUACUUGAACUUGGAGGUAGCAUAGGUUUUGAUUGCAGCAAUCCUUAGCCAUUCCUAUGUUUUGACUCGACAGCAACUCGCGGCAAUUACUGAGUGUGAACUGGUGGAAUAGGGCAGCAAUGGCAAUUUCUGAUCAUGAACUGGUCACAAAUUAC
rnacentral:misc_RNA from 1 species